UACGUAGGGUCCGAGCGUUGUCCGGAAUUAUUGGGCGUAAAGGGCUCGUAGGCGGUCCGUCACGUCGGGAGUGAAAACUCAGGGCUCAACCCUGAGCGUGCUUCCGAUACGGGCGGACUAGAGGUAUGCAGGGGAGAACGGAAUUCCUGGUGUAGCGGUGGAAUGCGCAGAUAUCAGGAAGAACACCGGUGGCGAAGGCGGCUCUCUGGGCCUUACCUGACGCUGAGGAGCGAAAGCCAGGGGAGCGAACGGG
rnacentral:rRNA from 1 species